GAUGAACGCUAGCUACAGGCUUAACACAUGCAAGUCGAGGGGAAACGACAUCGAAAGCUUGCUUUUGAUGGGCGUCGACCGGCGCACGGGUGAGUAACGCGUAUCCAACCUGCCCACCACUUGGGGAUAACCUUGCGAAAGUAAGACUAAUACCCAAUGAUAUCUCUAGAAGACAUCUGAAAGAGAUUAAAGAUUUAUCGGUGAUGGAUGGGGAUGCGUCUGAUUAGCUUGUUGGCGGGGUAACGGCCCACCAAGGCAACGAUCAGUAGGGGUUCUGAGAGGAAGGUCCCCCACAUUGGAACUGGGACACGGUCCAAACUCCUACGGGAGGCAGCAGUGAGGAAUAUUGGUCAAUGGACGAGAGUCUGAACCAGCCAAGUAGCGUGCAGGAAGACGGCCCUAUGGGUUGUAAACUGCUUUUAUAAGGGAAUAAAGUGAGUCUCGUGAGACUUUUUGCAUGUACCUUAUGAAUAAGGACCGGCUAAUUCCGUG
rnacentral:rRNA from 1 species